UACGUAGGGUGCAAGCGUUGUCCGGAAUCAUUGGGCGUAAAGCGCGCGUAGGUGGCUUCGUAAGUCCGUUGUGAAAGUCAAAGGCUCAACCUUUGAAUGCCGAUGGAUACUGCGAAGCUAGAGUACGGAAGAGGCGAGUGGAAUUCCUGGUGUAGCGGUGGAAUGCGCAGAUAUCAGGAGGAACACCAAUAGCGAAGGCAGCUCGCUGGGACGUUACUGACACUAAGGCGCGAAAAGCGUGGGGGAGCGAAACGAG
rnacentral:rRNA from 1 species